AGCUUCAGUAGCGUAUAUUAAAGUUGUUGCAGUUAAAAAGCUCGUAGUCGCAUUUCUGGCGAGAGGAUCCGGUCCGACCUUUUGGUGGGUUCUUGGGUCUCUUUCGCCAUCCUUGAGUGGUCCGUUCUGGCAUUAGGUUGUCGGAGCGUCAGCCGCUCAUCGUUUACUGUGAGAAAAUUAGAGUGUUCAAAGCAGGCUUAUGCCGUUGAAUAUAUUAGCAUGGAAUAAUAAGAUAGGACCUCGGUACUAUUUUGUUUGUUUGCGCACCAAGGUAAUGAUGAACAGGGACAGUUGGGGGUAUUUGUAUUUCGUUGUCAGAGGUGAAAUUCUUAGAUUUACGAAAGACAAACUACUGCGAAAGCAUUUACCAAGGAUGUUUGCA
rnacentral:rRNA from 1 species